rnacentral:rRNA from 1 species
UACGAAGGGGGCUAGCGUUGCUCGGAAUCACUGGGCGUAAAGGGUGCGUAGGCGGGUCUUUAAGUCAGGGGUGAAAUCCUGGAGCUCAACUCCAGAACUGCCUUUGAUACUGAAGAUCUUGAGUUCGGGAGAGGUGAGUGGAACUGCGAGUGUAGAGGUGAAAUUCGUAGAUAUUCGCAAGAACACCAGUGGCGAAGGCGGCUCACUGGCCCGAUACUGACGCUGAGGAGCGAAAGCGUGGGUAGCAAACAGG